AUUCAGAUUCAAGCCGAUGCGCCAGGCAGCUUCGGCCAUCUCGGUGCUAAUCAGUAAGGAUUCAAUCAGUGCAAAGAAACGAAGCAUUGGAUUUGGGGUCAGCAUGUGUGCAAGCUUCUAAUAAAUCAGGUUCCAUCUCUCUCUCUCAAUAUGUUUCAUCUCUCAUGAAGUCUUAUGAUGCAUUCGUUGGAGCUGUUUAGUAGGUUCGGAGUAGAAACAUGGUAAGAUUAUUCCUGACUCUUUCAAAGCUGCUCAGACGCUUAGUAUAGACGCUUAUUCUAUACUAAAAGGGAUAUAUGAAGAGUAGAGAGGGUGUCCACGUCCUCAAUUAAAAUCAGCCAAUAGGGUGUCUCAAAUUCGCCACGUCAUUUGCUCUUUUAUGUUUAAGCCGCUGUCGUAGUGACGCGUUUCCUCUGUACAUCUCAAUCGUCUCAACUUCCUUCGCUUCUCUAAAAAAUUAUAAAAAGUGUUACGAAACUCCUGCCAUCAACUUUUAUUUGCACCGUGAAUCUCUCUUCGUCUUCUUUCCCAUCCUAUAAGCAAUUUUUUUUACAUUGAUCUCUUCAUCUCCUUCCUGCAAAUUUGUGUUCUUUUGAUUCAACAUAAUUGAUUUAAAACUAGAUCCAAUGAUUCAAACUGAAAAAAAAUUCAGAUUCAAGCCGAUGCGCCAGGCAGCUUCGGCCAUCUCGGUGCUAAUCAGUAAGGAUUCAAUCAGUGCAAAGAAACGAAGCAUUGGAUUUGGGGUCAGCAUGUGUGCAAGCUUCUAAUAAAUCAGGUUCCAUCUCUCUCUCUCAAUAUGUUUCAUCUCUCAUGAAGUCUUAUGAUGCAUUCGUUGGAGCUGUUUAGUAGGUUCGGAGUAGAAACAUGGUAAGAUUAUUCCUGACUCUUUCAAAGCUGCUCAGACGCUUAGUAUAGACGCUUAUUCUAUACUAAAAGGGAUAUAUGAAGAGUAGAGAGGGUGUCCACGUCCUCAAUUAAAAUCAGCCAAUAGGGUGUCUCAAAUUCGCCACGUCAUUUGCUCUUUUAUGUUUAAGCCGCUGUCGUAGUGACGCGUUUCCUCUGUACAUCUCAAUCGUCUCAACUUCCUUCGCUUCUCUAAAAAAUUAUAAAAAGUGUUACGAAACUCCUGCCAUCAACUUUUAUUUGCACCGUGAAUCUCUCUUCGUCUUCUUUCCCAUCCUAUAAGCAAUUUUUUUUACAUUGAUCUCUUCAUCUCCUUCCUGCAAAUUUGUGUUCUUUUGAUUCAACAUAAUUGAUUUAAAACUAGAUCCAAUGAUUCAAACUGAAAAAAAAUUCAGAUUCAAGCCGAUGCGCCAGGCAGCUUCGGCCAUCUCGGUGCUAAUCAGUAAGGAUUCAAUCAGUGCAAAGAAACGAAGCAUUGGAUUUGGGGUCAGCAUGUGUGCAAGCUUCUAAUAAAUCAGUGUCUAACAAAGAGAUCUCGAACUGGAUCGUGUAAGAUUACUUGAAAUCAAUCAAGUAUUGGAAUCAAUCCGUCAAGCUUUUCACCACCAGGUUCCAUAUCUUUCUCACUCACGACUUCCAAUCAAUCUUAACCCUAUUUUUUUAUCAUGCUUUAGUUGGAGUUGUUUGGUAAACAUGUGAGCUGCAGAAACUGGAUAAAGAUUAUUCUGAGUCUCUCAGAUGCUUAGUAUAGUCACGUAAUCUUCCCUUCCCUUUCUCCCUAUCUAAUUUUGUUAUAAUUGAUAAGGUAAGAGCUUAAUAAUGUAGUUAUUAUCUUAUAAGUUGCAGGUAUGGAUUCUGUAAAAUCAGUAUAUGAAAUUCAUUGUAUAAUUAUUUUGAUCCGGUGCAACAGGUCAAGUAUACGUCUCCCCCAGCUUCCCCACUCCGUAGCGAGUUUUGAAUGCAUCACUGGACUGAUGGUGUUCUCCAAGUUCAUAGGGUGCAGUGAAUGCCAAACAAAAGUAACCCGAGGCGCCACAUCAUUGGUCUGCCUAUAAAUGCAAUAACCACAACGCCAUAGGUAAUGAGUGCUGGAUCUCUGAUGUGCCUGUCUGAACAUCUUCAAACAAUUAACGAGUGUUGGAUCUCUGUAUGAGCUUAGUGUAUUUGAAGUAACCUGUAGCAACACUAACUUCUGCUUUAGCGACAGCCCCAUUGCUAUUCGUUUCACUAACCAAACCGUCGGGGAGCUAUAUGAGACGGACAAACCGAUUGAUGGUAUUAGCAAACACGAGUACCGACAUACCAGAUAUUGUUGGUAAGUUCGGGUAUUAGAACUGCUUACGACGAAAAGAGCCGGAGUACACAGCGCCACCAUAAGCUUUGAAUGGGCACUCUAAUGUCUUCCUAAGUGUGUUUGCUGAGUAAGGUCAUAAACCGAAGGUGGCGGUUGCCACUAACAUCAUCCCAAAACUGGCAAUGAAUGAACCGUCCUGUUUAGAACUUGCUUACGGAUUUCUUAAAAGGUUUUCUCUCUGUUUUAGAUAUUGUCUCAAGCCGUCUCUUCCUGAAUGAAACUUCAGAAACUCAUUUCUAUUUUGAUAAGGAUUGUGCUGUUGGUCAAAUUUAUCUAAAGAGGGUAUGUUGUAGUGAGGAAGGCUCAACCUUCAGCACGUAGUCAUUAAGCUCUCCUAAUCACAAAUAAGUAGCUUAACAAUAUCUCAAUAACUGCACUUUGCGGAGUUCAUUUGCACUGGUGUUGUGAGUGAAAUAGAAACAAAAAGUGGAUGUUGCUUUGCUCCAAGUGCCACCGCAAAUUGCAGCAUGGGUUCUCAUCAUUUCAAUGUCCUCCCUGCAAUGAGGAGAAUACAGUUGGAGUUAUUAGAUAGUCUACCCUCAACAAACUUUGUAACAAUUAAUCUUAAAAUCCACAACUAUCCUAUGCUACGAGAGUAAUGCAUUACACUGGAUAAUAUAGGCUAGGUACCGUGUUCGAAUGACCAUAUCUGAUGCAACCGAUGCUGCUGAAUUUGUUGUCUUUGACACUGUAAUAACUAAACUAACUAAUAUCUGCGCAGCAAAUCCCUCCAACCAGCAGGUUGCUGUUUCACAAGACCUCCAGGAUUGGGACCUCCCACAAUGCGUACAUGAGAUCGCUGGUAGCACCUUAACCUUCCAAUUGAGUCUGUCUCACUUCAACAUCAGUGCCAUACAUCAGAUUUUCACUGUUUCCCGCAUUUUUUACUACAACCAGUGCCCACCUCAGCUUAAUUUUGAGGGUCAUGUCUCCAAUAAAUGCUCAAGUCUAUGCAACUUUACAUGGUCUUUGAUUACUGAUUAGGGAGUCACAUUUUCAAGGUAGGUAUGAUAAUCCCGGGGAUGAUACGCCAGCUGCUGGAGCUGUCAAAAGAAGCCACAGUCAUGUUCUCCAGAGCAGUCCCGUGAAUCAGGGUGAAAGUGAUGGUAAUGGUGAUGUUGCAUGAGGACGGUUGCUAUGACAAGAAGCCACAGACUGAUAAAGAACAAGUGGAGAUUCAGAUAGAAGACAUGCUGACAUGUUCGAUGCUUUUAUUUAAAAGUAAAACUGCCAAACACUAUGGUUUACUUUUUCAUGGUGGAGUUUUUUUCUUAUUUGGAUUUUCAUUGGUUUCAUUUUUUAACAUUUCCAUAGUCCGUAUACAUUUAACAGUCAAAACCCAAAAAAUCCUACUUCACAGACC